rnacentral:rRNA from 1 species
GAUGAACGCUGGCGGCGUGCCUAAUACAUGCAAGUCGAGCGAACAGACGAGGAGCUUGCUCCUCUGACGUUAGCGGCGGAAGGGUGAGUAACACGUGGAUAACCUACCUAUAAGACUGGGAUAACUUCGGGAAACCGGAGCUAAUACCGGAUAAUAUAUUGAACCGCAUGGUUCAAUAGCGAAAGACGGUUUUGCUGUCACUUAUAGAUGGAUCCGCGCCGCAUUAGCUAGUUGGUAAGGUAACGGCUUACCAAGGCAACGAUGCGUAGCCGACCUGAGAGGGUGAUCGGCCACACUGGAACUGAGACACGGUCCAGACUCCUACGGGAGGCAGCAGUAGGGAAUCUUCCGCAAUGGGCGAAAGCCUGACGGAGCAACGCCGCGUGAGUGAUGAAGGUCUUCGGAUCGUAAAACUCUGUUAUUAGGGAAGAACAAAUGUGUAAGUAACUAUGCACGUCUUGACGGUACCUAAUCAGAAAGCCACGGCUAACUACGUG